rnacentral:rRNA from 1 species
UGCCAGCCGCCGCGGUAAUACGGAGGGUGCGAGCGUUAAUCGGAAUAACUGGGCGUAAAGGGCACGCAGGCGGUGACUUAAGUGAGGUGUGAAAGCCCUGGGCUUAACCUAGGAAUUGCAUUUCAUACUGGGUCGCUAGAGUAUUUUAGGGAGGGGUAGAAUUCCACGUGUAGCGGUGAAAUGCGUAGAGAUGUGGAGGAAUACCGAAGGCGAAGGCAGCCCCUUGGGAAUAUACUGACGCUCAUGUGCGAAAGCGUGGGGAGCAAACAGGAUUAGAUA